rnacentral:rRNA from 1 species
UACGUAGGGUGCAGGCGUUAAUCGGAAUUACUGGGCGUAAAGCGUGCGUAGACGGUAGCGUAAGUCAGAUGUGAAAGCCCCGGGCUCAACCUGGGAAUUGCAUUUGAGACUGCUCUGCUCGGGUGCGGAAGAGGGAAGCGGAAUUUCCGGUGUAGCGGUGAAAUGCGUAGAUAACGGAAGGAACACCAGUGGCGAAAGCGGCUUCCUGGUCCGACACCGACGUUCAGGCACGAAAGCGUGGGGAGCAAACAGG